AGCGAACGCUGGCGGCAGGCUUAACACAUGCAAGUCGAGCGGGCAUCCUUGUGGUGUCAGCGGCAGACGGGUGAGUAACGCGUGGGAACGUGCCCUUCGGUUCGGAAUAACUCAGGGAAACUUGAGCUAAUACCGGAUACGUGCGAGAGCAGAAAGGUUUAUCUGCCGAAGGAUCGGCCCGCGUCUGAUUAGCUAGUUGGUGAGGUUACGGCUCACCAAGGCGACGAUCAGUAGCUGGUCUGAGAGGAUGAUCAGCCACACUGGGACUGAGACACGGCCCCGACUCCUACGGGAGGCAGCAGUGGGGAAUAUUGGACCAUGGGGGCAACCCUGAUCCAGCCAUGCCGCGUGAGUGAUGACGGCCUUAGGGUUGUAAAGCUCUUUUCUCCGGGACGAUAAUGACGGUACCGGAGGAAUAAGCCCCGGCUAACUUCGUG
rnacentral:rRNA from 1 species